rnacentral:rRNA from 1 species
ACUCAAAUGAAUAGACGGGGGCCCGCACAAGCGGUGGAGCAUGUGGUUUAAUUCGACGCAACGCGAAGAACCUUACCCAGGUUUGACAUGUAUAGGACUGGUGUGGAAACACACCUUCCCUUCGGGGCCUAUACACAGGUGCUGCAUGGCUGUCGUCAGCUCGUGUCGUGAGAUGUUGGGUUAAGUCCCGCAACGAGCGCAACCCUUGUCCCUAGUUGCUAACGGAUAAUGCUGAGCACUCUAGGGAGACUGCCGGUGAUAAACCGGAGGAAGGUGGGGAUGACGUCAAGUCCUCAUGGCCCUUACAUCUGGGGCUACACACGUGCUACAAUGGCCGGUACAAAGGGUUCCGAAACCGCGAGGUAGAGGCAAUCCCAAAAAACCGGUCUCAGUUCGGAUUGCAGUCUGCAACUCGACUGCAUGAAGUCGGAAUCGCUAGUAAUCGCUGAUCAGCAGGCAGCGGUGAAUACGUUCCCGGGCCUUGUACACACCGCCCGU